CCUUGCGACCUCAUUCCGCGGGGCUGCCCCAGGGAGGCGUCAGGAUCUAGAAGCUGCAUCAUGCACCAGGGAGGGGGUGCCCUAAGCAAAGCGGUCCCAGUGUAGACAAGCCCCUUCCUCCCGCGCAACAUGGAUGCUGAAGAGUUCCACACCAGAUGGGGCCGCAUGGUCCUGGAUCCCAAGCGUCUCAGGGUCCUCGGUGGGGUGCGGCGGCCAGAGGGACCUCUCAGCCGUUCGGUGUCUGAUGUCACGCAGCGUGGAGGAGCCCGAGUCUUGCAGCGGAGACAGAAUUUUCUAUCAUCUUGGAAGAAUGAGGGCUUGGAAUGGGCUGUGUGUUGAUUGGAAGGAAAUAAGAAUCGGAUGUCCCUGUUUCACUGAGUGAGGAGAUCUGCUCCGAGAGGCCAAGUCACCGGCCCCUGGUCGCACAGCACGUCCAUGAUAACGGUGGGAUUUGGAACGGAGCCUGAGGUUUGCACCCCUCCCCCGCACACCAUUCGCGCACCUUCCGGCCCCGCUCGGGGUGCAAGUACCGCUUGGGGCUUGGGUGUAGGGCAGCAGGGAGAAACUGGGGCGGGGGAGGAUUCCGGGCGCCUGGUGGCCGUGACGUGUGAUGUAGGUUUGCCAGGAGUUCUAGAAAGUUCAGCAGGCUGCCCCCCGGGAAGCCUCUCGGAGGCUCCACGAGUUAACGGCUGUUUUCCGAACAAGUUGUCACCCCCUGUCAUCUCCCCAUCCCAGGCUGGGCGGGAAGAGGCCGUGAAUUACCCACCGCUUUUAGGCCAGGCCGGUUAAUUCACCUCUCUGAGCCUCAGUGUCCCCGUCUCUGAAACGGACCCCACGACACGGUUGCAGGUACGGUUCGGUGAGAAGACCGGUGGGGACUUAGCCCCGGGCCCUGGAGCAAACAGAAAAAGCUCGACGUAACGCUGGCAUCUUCUCGCAACGGCGAACCUUCCUGUUCCGCGCGACUCAGCGGCUCUUAGGGACACGCCAAAGUGACACUCGCGCGCGCGCCCCAGGCCACGCGUACAAGGAAGUGCGUCGCAGCCCUGUUCACCGUAGCGACAACUGGAGCCAACCGUUCCGCUCACCGGAAAGAAAACGGGCCUGGCUGGCUGGGGCUGUUGUUUUCUUGAAGUCUCCAAAAGAUGAGGUCACAAGGCCCAGAGAGGUGGAUACAUCACCCAAGAUCCCCAGCAGAGGAAGGAGGCACACCUACCUCACCUCCUCCAGGAAGCCCUCCAUGCCUGCUGCAUUGUCUCAACUCCUCCGCCACUUGGGGGCUCAGGGACACAUCCCCAGAGCCCGUUUGUCUUCUAACACAACUCAGGUGAGGAAACUGAGGCCCAGAGAGGGUGACAGACUGGUCCGAGGCCACACAGCUGCAGAGGAGCCCGGAUGUGGGCGGAGAGACUCCAGUUAGGGCCACAUUUAUGGCUCCCAUAGGAGAGGAGUGAACCGGGCCACAAGGCCCUUUACGCUGUUUUUAGGUGUCGGUCAUGCAGAUUCUCCCAGGUUAUGCAGCCUGGGCCGGCAGCUCUAAUCCGGCCAAGGAAUGUCACAGCGGCUCAGCAGGGCCAGGAUGGGGAGGGGGGCUGGGCAGAGGAGGGAGUGGAGUCUUGGCCGCGGUAACAAAUAGAAAGCAGAUUGUGUUUCCCUUUGCUUCCAGGGAGGGGAUGUGCCGGAACCCAAUUACCCCCUUACAAUGGAUGCUCUAUUGUCGGAUGAGGCAAGGUCAGGGGCAGGCGGGGCGGGGCAGGGCCCUGCCCGGGGCACAGUGUCCCUGGCACAGCCAGUUGGCUGCGCCCUGGCUGACCUGGCUUCCUCCCGCCAGCCCCACCUCCCCCCUCUCCUGGCUCACAAAGACCCAGCGUCUCUUUCCAAAGCUGAGUGCUCCCCUCCAAGUAACCCUGACGCUGUAGGUCCUCUCUGGGACCUUCCGUAGGAACCGAGGCUCCUUCGUCGCCCCCCCCUCCCCCCCGCCCUUCUCCAUCUAUCUUGUUAAUGAUCUGGAAAUGUCAUCCAUCAGGCGGCUUUGGCUCCCGCUUGAGGUUCAUUCAUUUCUUCACCAGCUAUUUGUUAAGCACCUACUAUGUGUGGACACUAAGGCCAUGCUCAUUUACCAACUAUUUGCGGAGCGCCUGCUAUGUGCUAAAUGCUAAGGCCGUGGGCAUUCGUCUGCCAAGUGUCUGUGGAACACCUACCACGCGUCAGGCGUUCGGGAUGCCGCGGUGAACAAGACAGACGUGGUCUCGGGCAUCUUACAGUCCGCUGGGGGGCGGACACUCAACAACAGUUUGACUCGAGGGGCGUUUAUUGCCCACCGACUGCAUGCGGUGUUGCUGGGCUCUUGGAGGACGGGAUUGGAAGUAAAUGCAUGACGGUCAGUGUGGGUAGCAGGAGAAUGAGUCGACUUAGGACGGGAACGCUGCCUCCAUCAUGAACUAAGUUUGUAACUUUGAGAGACUGAUUUUACCUCCAGGGUCUCAGUUUACCCGCCCGUGAAAUGGGCGGUAAGGAGACUUAGCAAAGGGGCCUGCGAAAUGUCCGUUUUCUGUGGGGGCAGCGGCUGCCUUUGAUGGCUCAGUGUCUGUUCCUCCUUCUGGCAGUGGCCUCCUGAUCUCGUUGGGGGAGAAAAGUUCUCUUCCUUCCUCUCAGCACCUGCAGACCAGGUGGGGCUGACUCCUCCCACCCCACUCCUGGGAGAGCACGUGACUAAGCCUGGCCAAUGAGAUCCUUUCAUCCCCUGGCCCCAAUCUCUGGGUAGAGGGGCGGUCAGUGAUCCAGGAAGGGUGCGAUGACAUUCAGUUUGGGAACUAUCGAGGACCCCACAUCCUUCCGCCGAGGCUGGCACGCGGGGGAGACGCGGGCCCCUGGCGCCACUUGCCUCAUGAGGGGGAGAGCCUCCCUGAGAACGAAACCAACCCAGAAGAAACAGAGGCAAUGAGUCCUGAUGGUGCCGUUUUGAGCCCCUGGAUCCAGCUAUGCCUGAAGGCUGUGCAAAUUCUGGACUUUUCAGUAACACGAGCCACUCAAAAGUCUUUGUUGCUUUAGUCACCUUGAAUUGGGAUUCUGUCACUCGAAACCAAGAGCCCUGACUCAUAAGUAGGCCUUUCCUCCCCCACUUAUUUCAUAGAACAGAAAUCCCACUAAUCCUGGCAUACCGGAACAGGGAAAAUUAAUUCCCUUGCUUCCUAAAAAGCUGGUGAGAAAUGGACAGCGAGAGAGGCCGCACGGGCACUCCUUUCUUUUUGGUGUGUGAGGACAUCUAUCCUCCCGUGGCCCCCGACCUCGCCUCGCUGAGCCAGAGCAGAAAUCGCUUAACCUCCUGGGCCUUGGCUUUGAAAGGUUUGUGAUGGAUGGCGCUCAGCCUCGUGGGCAGAAAUGGAAAAUUCUCGGCUGUCUGGUCUGUCCCUUCAUGCUGCAUUUCCCAGCCGGCCCAGGCCAGGAAGGCUGUCGGUGAGCGAAACCUGGUGAGAUUCCGAGGCCGCCGACUUUCUCCGUGAAGGGCCAGAUAGUGAAUGCGUCAGGCGUCGUGGGCCAUAAAGGUCCCUGUUACACAUUCUUCUUUGUUCUGUUUGUUUUCUUUUCUUACAGCCCUUUAAAAAUGUAAGAAGUUAAAAAAAAAUCCAAGAAAUCAUACGUGGGCUGCACAAAAACAGGCCACGGGGUGGACAUGGCCCAUGGUGAUAGUUUGCCGACUCCUGGAUUAGAUUAUAGUUAUGGAGACCUAUGGUCUCUUCCCUCCGUCCUUCCUUCUUUUCUUUUCUUUUCUCUCCUUUUCUUUUCUUUUCUUUUCUUUCCUUUUCUCCCAACAAAACCUCAUUCCCCCCAAACCCAGGAAAUAUUCUGGAAAUUCUAACACUUUGGUGUAAAAACUCAGAUUUACGAGUAGCCCCUGUCUCCUUGGUCUGCCCCCUGUCUCCCUGGCACUU